UCUCUCCUCAUCAAUUUCUUGUUCACAUGUUUGACCGCCACCGUCCGUUUGGUUCCCUGGUGGUCACACCGCUUGACAACAGAGAAACGACCCCUAGAGAGGAGAAUGGGAGGAUGGUCAGUCAGUGUACUUCACUCAGUAGUUAUGGUUGUCAUGUUAUGACCAUUUACUCCAUCUGUAACAGAACAGAUGUAUAUGUAGGUAAGAUUCCACUACCUUCCCAGUUCCACCACGUCAGUGUAGUGAGACUCAAAGUUGUCCUUCCAGCUCACUCUGACUCCAUCAGUGGACACAGCUGAGACAAGUAACAUCACAAUCAGUUCAUGUCUUUUCUUAGCACCAGCAUUGUCAGGCCUCUGUGGCAGAAUGGAUUCUGUGUUCUCACCUAGAACUCUGAGGCUAGCCGAGGACGUGACAGUCCCCACCUCGUUCGUGGCAACACAAGUGUAAACACCAUCAUCCUCAGAGACCACACCAAUUAUUCGCAGUGUCGCUUCACCCGUAUCACUGAAAGAAACAUGCAUGUUGAUUUACAUUUUACUUCAACUUCUCCACUAUUGAGCAUCAGGUUACUUGUUAAGAUGAUCUAUGCUGGAGUCGGAUGGAGAUUUAGCAACAUUUUUGACCUGUAGGCGAUGCUGAAGUGUCCGUUGUUGGUGAGGUUGCUCUGGUCGGGUCCUUUCCAGGUAAGAGUGGCCCGGGGUCGACCACAGACCUUGCACCUAAGGGUGACACACUCUCCGCUGUCACACGUCACAUCACUCAGAGGUACAAGGAACUCCGGGGGAACUUAAAGAGAAGAAAAAAAGUCGGAGGUAAAUCCUGUCAAAUGCUGAGAUGAUACUUAUAAUUCAGGAAAAGAGUGCUUUUAAUAAUAUAUUGGUUUUAUCAUAAGUUUUAAUUUCAAAUGAACAGAAUGGCACCAAGUUCACACUUACCAUCAUAGAUGUAGUUUGGAUUUAGAAGCUGUAAGGGAAAAGGCACGAGUGUCAAAUACACCCUGGAGCAGAAGCAUGACUCGACAGUCGUCUUGGACUUUUCUCAGACGUACUGAUGAACUCACCUUUACAGAAACUUUAUUGGCCAGCCCAUCUCUGGACUUCCUGUAACCGUUCUCCAGCUUGGUCUCUUUCUUUGCCUCCUUCUCCUUCUUCUCAGACUUUUUACGGAUGCGCAGGGAUGUGUGCCAGGAUGAAGACUUCCUGCUGGGACAACAAAAGGACUAGAGUCAAAUCAAAAGGUUGAGUUAAAUAGUGCUCUUACUUGAUGGAUCCUUCGGGACAGUCGGGGACGAUGGCCGAGGUGUGUCCAAGCACAAAUCCGGGGAUCCAGCCCUCGGCAGCGGGGCCCUGCUCGGUGGCUGCCCUGAACACCAAGAACAUGUUUUGCUGGUUGCUGGCUAAGAUCUGGACCACCUCUCCCUGAGAAACGCUGAUCUCAUCCUCCUUCACAGCCAUGUAGUCCUGGGUCACCAACAUGGUGGAUACGCUACUGCUGCUGCUACUUUCACUCUGCACCACAGGAUGAAAACAUGGACAUUAGGAAGACAGUAUGUAAAGAAGCAUGUCUCAUUACAGGUAAACGUGAAAAAAAAUUUAAGUUGAAAGAAGGAUAAAAUAGUUGACAAGCCA